UACGAAGGGGGCUAGCGUUGCUCGGAAUCACUGGGCGUAAAGGGUGCGUAGGCGGGUUUUUAAGUCAGGGGUGAAAUCCUGGAGCUCAACUCCAGAACUGCCUUUGAUACUGAGGAGCUUGGAGUCCGGGAGAGGUGAGUGGAACUGCGAGUGUAGAGGUGAAAUUCGUAGAUAUUCGCAAGAACACCAGUGGCGAAGGCGGCUCACUGGCCCGGUACUGACGCUGAGGUGCGAAAGCGUGGGGAGCAAACAGG
rnacentral:rRNA from 1 species